rnacentral:rRNA from 1 species
AGGGUGUAAACGCCGCAGACUUGGUGUUGGAAAUCCUUCGAGGGUAUUCAGUGCCGGAGAGAAGUUGUUAAGUCUGCUACUUGGGGAGUACGUCCGCAAGGAUGAAACUUAAAGGAAUUGGCGGGGGAGCACCGCAACGGGAGGAGCGUGCGGUUUAAUUGGAUUCAACACCGGAAAACUCACCAGGGGAGACUGUUACAUGAAAGCCGAGAUGAAGACUCUGCUAGAUUUUUCAGAGAGGUGGUGCAUGGCGUCAGUGACU